rnacentral:tRNA from 1 species
GCGCAAGUCGGUUAACGGCAAACCAGCGGGCUCCAAACUCGCGACUCGUGGUUCAAAUCCACGCUUGCGCG